AACGCACCUUGCGCCCUUUGGCAUUCCGAGGGGCACACCCGUUUGAGUGUCAUGACAUCCUCAAAAACCUUCUUUGGUUUCUUGACCGGGGAAGGCUUUUGGACUUUGGAGGCUAUUGCUGGCCUUCCUUUGUUGGAGCCAGCUCCUCUGAAAUAAAUUAGUGGGGUCUGCUUUGCCGAUCCUUGACGUGAUAAGAUGUUUUCUACGUCUUGGGUUUCGCACUGUUCCUGCUUCUAACUGUCUCAUAGAAGACAAUGGUGAAGUGAUUGCCACUUGACCCACAAACCUUGACCUCAAAUCGGGUGAGACUACCCGCUGAACUUAA
rnacentral:misc_RNA from 1 species